UACUGCUAUGUUUGGGUAGCUGCUAAGUUCUCGCGCAUAAUGUUAUUGGUACUAGAAAGGUUAGAAUUUCUUAUACUUAUAAACGUAACAAGAUAUAAAUGUGUAAAGCUAUAAAUAAUUAAAAGAGACAAUAACAUAAAAAGAAAUCUGUGCGUAACAAACAAUUAUUAUUUGGGUGAUGUUUCCGCGUCUUUAAUUUAAUAUCUACAGGAUAUAUAUAUGAAUAAUAUAUCGAGACUAUUUCGAUUCAGCUGAUAUUUAGUUCUUCAACAAAUUGUUCCUACAAACUUGAUCCCCUUCCUUUUAGAGAGAAACAUCAUGACUUUGAUAAGUAGAAAUGUACCAUAGCUGGUAAGUCAUAGAAAUUAGAUCUAUAAAUAUCUGCAAUUAGCUGUUACACAAAUUUAAUACGAAAGCAGUGAAUGUAUCGAAGAAACUCGUUGGGCAGCAUCCAUAUGGAAGCUGCUAAGCAUUCGGUAAUCUCGAACAUAAUGAUACGUAAAUCUUCACCCGGGCAUGGUACAUUUUUUACGCUAAUUUAAUUUGAAAGAUAUAUUUGAGGUGGUAUAUAUUGUCCGUUAUGAAUGUAGUUGCCGGCUGUAGAUGUCGCUGCUGGGGUGUUGUUGUUUUUCCUCCUAAUUUAUUUGCGUAGUAGAGAAAUCGGAUUCCGGUCGCCGGGAUUCGAAGUCAGGCUCCGGACGUACGUAACCUAAGGCGCUAAUCACUGCCCUGCUGUCGUCCGAUACUGUUAUUUAUCGAUAUCUGAUUGUUACACUGUCGAUUUACUUUUCUCCAACAAAUAGUAGCAGAAUAAAUAUUCUUUUAUAAUUGAAUAACAUUGAAACACAGCUUCAAGGUGGACAUUCUGAGCAAUAUUUUUCUAUACCUGUUGACGUCGCUUGGCCUUGGUUUCCAAGGUGAGCACAUUUUCAAAUAGACCGAAUUAAACAGAACUCACUAGUGUGAGAGAUAACUAUUUUUAAUAUUAUACGAAUACGAAAAAGAAGUUGAUUACUGGCUUAUGGAUUGGGCAGUAUUAAUAGCGGAUGGCAUAAAAUAAUAUUCGAUAAACUGACUGAUGAAUGGAAUGCUGCACUUAAUACCGACCUUCAAUUAGUCGAAAGUGUCGCAUAUAUACCUUUAUUUAUUGAGAAAUUGUUUACAGAGUAAAAGUCUGUAAAAUGAAUUAUUAAAUAAAACAUAUUAAACAUAAAUUUCUUUGUACCUUGAAAACUAAUGUCGAGUGACCGGUGUAUGUAGAUGCAGUAAAAAGUUGUCCAGAACGUUUGUUUUGAUGAAAUGUUUCGGUAUCAUCCAAAUUGAUGAGUAGUAUCCUAUUCUAAACAAUUCUCUAUUUGACAUGCACACAAAUGGCCAAUAAAACUAUCAGAUAUUAGAAAACCUAUAACAUAUACGUGAAUGUUAUAUCUUACGAUAUAGAAGAUCAGAAAUAAUGGAAAAAUCGAAUCUUAGCGAAAAUGCUGAGAUUUUGAGAAUACGUACGUGGAUUGAACCUCAAACGUAAGAGAGUACACCGACCAAAGGCAAAACAAGGAGACAAAUGCUGCUUUGCUAGCGAUCCCUUGAAUUCUCAAUUCUAAUUAACUAUUCUGUUUUUAUUCAUCAUUUAUCUUAUUAUUAUCUGUUUUAUUUAUAAUUUAUAUGUAACAAAGGACAUAUAAAUAUGCAUCAACUAAAUAUAUGCGUGCUUCUUAUUUAGGAUAUAUAUGCGUUGGAAGUGAUUCACAUGGAAAUAAAUCAGUCAAGUAUGCGCUAAGAAAUAUACUGCUCACAAAUAUCAGCUACAAAAUACAACUAUUAGUUAAAAUAACUCUACAUAACGGUUGUAUUAAAGAAUGUGUUGAAUAAAUUAUGUUACAUUUUGAGGGA